GUUGCUUUAAUUCUCUUUAAGAGUCACAGCUGUCCAUUUUCCACGUGCGGCUGAAGAAUGGAUUUCAGAGCGCUCUCCCUCCGGCCGUGUUCACCUAGUAACCCCAGCUUCGGGAUAAGGACCUGCAGCCCGGGCACGACCCGGAAAGGGAAUCCGCCCUUUUCGCCUCCUUCGCGCCAAUCGCCUGGAGUUGGCGUUUCCGCAGCCGGGACACAGCCCACCCUCUAACAGCCGCGGAGUCGGGGACGGUAGAAGGGGCCGCGCGUGCGCAGUGGCGUCCGCUGUGCUUCCGGUGCGCCGGGCGCGGACGCGGGCACGCACACACGGGCACGCACACACGCAAGCACGCCUCCACUUAACUGGCGCCGCCGCGGCAGCUCGAGUCCACCAGCAGCGCCGUCCGCUUGACCGAGAUGCUGCGGGCCUGUCAGUUAUCGGGUGUGACCGCCGCCGCCCAGAGUUGUCUCUGUGGGAAGUUUGUCCUCCGUCCAUUGCGACCAUGCCGCAGAUACUCUACUUCAGGCAGCUCUGGGUUGACUACUGGCAAAAUUGCUGGAGCUGGCCUUUUGUUUGUUGGUGGAGGUAUUGGUGGCACUAUCCUAUAUGCCAAAUGGGAUUCCCAUUUCCGGGAAAGUGUAGAGAAAACCAUACCUUACUCAGACAAACUCUUCGAGAUGGUUCUUGGUCCUGCAGCUUAUAAUGUUCCAUUGCCAAAGAAAUCGAUUCAGUCGGGUCCACUAAAAAUCUCUAGUGUAUCAGAAGUAAUGAAAGAAUCUAAACAGCCUGCCUCACAACUCCAAAAACAAAAGGGAGAUACUCCAGCUUCAGCAACAGCACCUACAGAAGCGGCUCAAAUUAUUUCUGCAGCAGGUGAUACCCUGUCGGUCCCAGCCCCUGCAGUUCAGCCUGAGGAAUCUUUAAAAACUGAUCACCCUGAAAUUGGUGAAGGAAAACCCACACCUGCGCUUUCAGAAGAAGCAUCCUCAUCUUCUAUAAGGGAGCGACCACCUGAAGAAGUUGCAGCUCGCCUUGCACAACAGGAAAAACAAGAACAAGUUAAAAUUGAGUCUCUAGCCAAGAGCUUAGAAGAUGCUCUGAGGCAAACUGCAAGUGUCACUCUGCAGGCUAUUGCAGCUCAGAAUGCUGCGGUCCAGGCUGUCAAUGCACACUCCAACAUAUUGAAAGCCGCCAUGGACAAUUCUGAGAUUGCAGGCGAGAAGAAAUCUGCUCAGUGGCGCACAGUGGAGGGUGCAUUGAAGGAACGCAGAAAGGCAGUAGAUGAAGCUGCCGAUGCCCUUCUCAAAGCCAAAGAAGAGUUAGAGAAGAUGAAAAGUGUGAUUGAAAAUGCAAAGAAAAAAGAGGUUGCUGGGGCCAAGCCUCAUAUAACUGCUGCAGAGGGUAAACUUCACAACAUGAUAGUUGAUCUGGAUAAUGUGGUCAAAAAGGUCCAAGCAGCUCAGUCUGAGGCUAAGGUUGUAUCUCAGUAUCAUGAGCUGGUGGUCCAAGCUCGGGAUGACUUUAAACGAGAGCUGGACAGUAUUACUCCAGAAGUCCUUCCUGGGUGGAAAGGAAUGAGUGAGUACAACUGAACUGACAAGCUCUCUACUGAUGAUCUGAACUCCCUCAUUGCUCAUGCACAUCGUCGUAUUGAUCAGCUGAACAGAGAGCUGGCAGAACAGAAGGCCACCGAAAAGCAGCACAUCACGUUAGCCUUGGAGAAACAAAAGCUGGAAGAAAAGCGGGCAUUUGACUCUGCAGUAGCAAAAGCAUUAGAACAUCACAGAAGUGAAAUACAGGCUGAACAGGACAGAAAGAUAGAAGAAGUCAGAGAUGCCAUGGAAAAUGAAAUGAGAACCCAGCUUCGCCGACAGGCAGCUGCCCACACUGAUCACUUGCGAGAUGUCCUUAGGGUACAAGAACAGGAAUUGAAGUCUGAAUUUGAGCAGAACCUGUCUGAGAAACUCUCUGAACAAGAAUUACAAUUUCGUCGUCUCAGUCAAGAGCAAGUUGACAACUUUACUCUGGAUAUAAAUACUGCCUAUGCCAGACUCAGAGGAAUCGAACAGGCUGUUCAGAGCCAUGCAGUUGCUGAAGAGGAAGCCAGAAAAGCCCACCAACUCUGGCUUUCAGUGGAGGCAUUAAAGUACAGCAUGAAGACCUCAUCUGCAGAAACACCUACUAUCCCGCUGGGUAGUGCAGUUGAGGCCAUCAAAGCCAACUGUUCUGAUAAUGAAUUCACCCAAGCUUUAACCGCAGCUAUCCCUCCAGAGUCCCUGACCCGUGGGGUGUACAGUGAAGAGACCCUUAGAGCCCGUUUCUAUGCUGUUCAAAAACUGGCCCGAAGGGUAGCAAUGAUUGAUGAAACCAGAAAUAGCUUGUACCAGUACUUCCUCUCCUACCUACAGUCCCUGCUCCUAUUCCCACCUCAGCAACUGAAGCCGCCCCCGGAGCUCUGCCCUGAGGAUAUAAACACAUUUAAAUUACUGUCAUAUGCUUCCUAUUGCAUUGAGCAUGGUGAUCUGGAGCUAGCAGCAAAGUUUGUCAAUCAGCUGAAGGGGGAAUCCAGACGAGUGGCACAGGACUGGCUGAAGGAAGCCCGAAUGACCCUAGAAACGAAACAGAUAGUGGAAAUCCUGACAGCAUAUGCCAGCGCCGUAGGAAUAGGAACCACUCAGGUGCAGCCAGAGUGAGGUUUAGGAAGAUUUUCAUAAAGUCAUAUUUAAUGUCAAAGGAAAUCAGCAGUGAUAGAUGAAGGGUUCGCAGCGAGAGUCCCGGAAUUGUCUAGAAAUGAGCAGGUUUACAAGUACUGUUCUAAAUGUUAACACCUGUUGCAUUUAUAUUCUUUCCAUUUGCUAUCAUGUCAGUGAACUCCAGGAGUGCUUUCUUUGCAACUUGUGUAACAUUUUCUGUUUUUUCAGGUUUUACUGAUGAGGCUUGUGAGGCCAAUCAAAAUAAUGUUUGUGAUCUCUACUACUGUUGAUUUUGCCCUCGGAGCAAACUGAAUAAAGCAACAAGAUGAAAA